UGCGACUCACUCCUGCUGACCCGCCCCACUCUUUAUUUUUAUCUCGGCUGUUGAUCUGAAAGAUCGACGACCCACAAUCCAUCUUCCCGCUUCUAAGAAACCUCACCCUAAACCCGAGCCUCAUUUUACCCGGUCAGUCACCUAUAUACUCUCUUAAACCUUUCCAUCUCCUCACAAACCCUAGUCGCGCCCUAAUUCUUCUCCGAGUCCAACCCAUCCAUGGAUUCUUACCAUGAUUUACUUACCUUUCAUGGAUUAUACUACUGUUACCGGUGCAAAUAUGAUGUUACUUAGUACUUGUCCAUUUUUGGAAAGUACCAGUCUCCGAAUCAAGGGAAAUUGUCUUUACUCUCCAAGAUUUGAAUGAUAUUUCGUCUAUAUACAUUCAUAACAAGCGUAUGAGGGUCCGAUUCACCGAAUCUAUGGCCAAUUUCUGGUCCUUGUCAGACUAGGACCUAGUUUUUUCUUCUAAUUCGAUUUUAAAUUGAUUUUAUGUAUGUUCUUCUUUCUUUGUUUAUAUUUGAUUGACUGUAUUUUCUUGUUUGUGUGUUGAUUUUUACUAUUAUAUAAACUCCCUUUCCCGUUUCCCCUCUAAGACUGAACUACUAUUACUACUGUUGUUUUCUCAAACUUACUCGCUCUAAACUAUUCUAAGAUUAUACUCAUGGUCGACUAAAAUUCAAGGCCACUGAAAUCCAACUAUUAGACCUCUCUUAGUGAGAUCACUGCCCUGGUUUCAUCAGAGACCCUUGGGAACUCUGAUGCACUAAGAAUUUUGAGGUAUCUGUUGUUAUCCCCUUGUUACUGAUAAGCAAGCUGCUGGCACUAAAUUUCUAACUUGUUAGUUCGUUAAUUUUGCAAACUGGUGAGUAAUGAGACUCUCGUGAUUCUAUUCUAAUUUGCUUGUAUUCAUGUCAUUUAGGUCUUUAUGAAUCAAUAUGCUAUUGUUUUCUUCUGUUCAUUCAUGUUUGCCUUAGCAUUAUCAUGUACCCUGUGCUUUUCUAGUAUCUAAACCUACUUGAGUUCUGAGCUUCGAUGCAUGCCUACUAUAUGUUUGUGCAAUUUGAAUUAUUUUUUAUUACCUUCAGUAUGAUUUGUUAUUCUGAUCACUUGUUGCUUUUCAUGAGCCCUUUCUUAUGCCUUAUCUUGGAUGAUUGUAUUCUUAAAGGGGUUAUCUCAUGCCCAGAACUGGUUUGAGUGAAUUCCUUUUCUGAUAGCCCAUCUUGUAUGUUCUACUAUUUUCCUUGCUUUAUGCUUACAUGAGCCUUAUGUGGUAGUUAAUGUCUAGUGUUUUAGCCAAAAAUGUUGCUCUCUGAUGUGGUGUUUGGUCAACCCUAUACUCUUGACUAUUGCCUACGCUUCUAAUUGAAUCCCAAUACACUUAGUUUUUGCUAUUAUGCUUAGUUGACUGGCUUAAUCUCUGAAGUCUCUCUGUUUUAUUUGAUCUUAAGAUUGACAAGUCUUUCUACCAUGACAUCUUUAGACUUGGGAAUCUUUGUGUUAUACUCAGUAAGAUUAGGAUUCUUAUUAACUAUUAUAAACCAUGCCUACUUAUUUGUUUACAAUGUGUAAUUGCAAUUCCCUGACUAUAACUCUAUAAGACCUUCAUGACUUAGAUUCCUAGUUUUUAAAAUUCAUUUUAGGCUAAUUCUAGUUCAUGUUUUAAUCUAAACUUGCGGUUCUAGAAAAUUAAGCACGUAUGUGUCCUUAUCCUGUUAACCUAAAUGGCAUACCUCCCCAACUCUUCUAGUGUUCUACAUGUUAUACUCUUUCACUUGUUUUGAACCUAUGCUAUUAGUUUUUUUCAUGUCAAACUCACCAUGUUGAAACUGAGUUCUAAUGCUUCUCCUUGUUUCAUGUUCAAGCCCUUGUUCGACCAAUCCUGUCACUCCAGCUUCUAAAAUGCAAGUGUUAAUAUAGUUUAUAUGAAUCAUGUCUUUAUGAGGUAAUUCUUUAGAGCUGUUUAAUUAACAUCCAUGUGUGGCUCGUUAACUUAUAUGGUUAACUGGUUAAUCUGUAAUUGUUGGGCUUGGUAUGAGUUCAUGUGUGGCCAUGGGCUAUGCAAAUGGACACACUCUCUUGCUUGAGAUGCAUUUGGAUCUGGAUUUUUCUAUUCGUGUAAAAAUGAGCUUGUUGAAGGACCAUGCAGUAAGGAGUUAUUUUCAUUUGGGCCUGCUCUUAGGCCUGCAGUGUUUCAGUAUGUAAUAUCAAUUUUUAUAUUUAUUAUUUUGGGCAUGUAAUAAUUUGUAAACAAAACAGUUGGGGAAUUAAUUGGAAUGAGGAACAAGUAUCCUUUAAUUUUUGUAUGAAAGGGUAGAGAGCAUGCCUAUAGGGUCUACCUGCUUUGUUUACUACUUUGAUUCGACAUGCUUUAUUUUUAUACAUGAAUAGAUAUCAUGGCUAUGAACUUAAACACUUCACCUGCUUAACUUGUCUAAUACCCGUACAUCAUCAGAAGCAUGUUUGUAAGAGUUUAAGUGCUCUACUUGUUCACAUGUCUACUAUUAUGAACUAUAGAUAGCAUGCUUAUAGGAAUAGGAUGUCAACAUGUGUGAUUACAAUAUGAUAGCAUGCCUAUAGAGUCAUAAGCUAAUAUUACCAUGCCUGCGGGGGCUUAAUUGAUUAACAGAUCGAUUGUUUCUGUCGUUCUUAUUAAGCUGCUCGCCUAGAUAGCAUGAUUAUAUGAAUAAGAACAAUAAAAUUGUAUUUAGAUACCAACUGCUAAAGAACCUGCCAAUAACACACUGUUAUUCACUUAGAAAGCAUGCCAAUAAGAUCAAACAUCAGUAAUUCUGAGUUCUCAAAUAGUUUUAUUACCCUAUUGCAGAAAUCAUUUAGAUCAUGUCUACAGGUUUUAUAAUACUUGUAAUAUGUAAAUUUGGUAAUCUGAAACGGUUGUAGGACGUUUUAAACUAGAUCACAUAGAAGCCAUGUCUAUAGGACUUAACGACUUUAAUAUGCCUUGAUUCUGAAACUGCCUACUACCUAAUAUGAAAUCUGCUCACGUGCUUUUGGUGCUUAUGUGUGGAGGCUAACUUGAGCCAUUUAUUAUUUUUGUGUGUAGUCCUACAUGUUUUGAAUGUGCAUCUAAUUUUAUCUUUUGAGCGCCCUAAGUAAAGUCUAGAGCCACCUAAAUAGUAGGUCCAAAGCUUCCUGGAUCAUAGGCAUAUGAUCGGUAGUGUACGUAUAGGAUACGAUUUAGAAUUGAACUAGAGCUCUUUAGGUAAACAACUUUGACAUAGUAAUUAGAUAGCAGUAGAUGAUAGUCUAUGCUCACUGAAUAAUAUGAGCAACACAUAUCCUAAGGGAGUUACAAAAUAUUAUUUAAGUUGCACGAGGUGAUCUUUUAGGCCAAAAAACUUAGGACUUCCUUUAUAUAUUUAUUUUCCGUGCCUUUGGUUCUUUGAACUUAGAACAAUUAGGCUAUAUCUUAUAACCUCUUAGGACUUCUACUGACCAUUUAUAUGUAGUUAAUUUCUUCACAUGUGCAAUUAUUCUUUACACUUGUAUUACAUCAGAGUUGAACCUUUAAAUUCCCUCUCUUCCUUCAUUACAUGAUAACGUAGGAUAGUUAUAAUCCAAUAAUUCUACAUAGCGUGAAUUUAGGCCGGGAAUUAUAGUCGUCGAUCU
rnacentral:lncRNA from 1 species